CCUACGGGAGGCAGCAGUGAGGAAUAUUGGUCAAUGGACGAGAGUCUGAACCAGCCAAGUAGCGUGAAGGAUGACUGCCCUAUGGGUUGUAAACUUCUUUUAUAAAGGAAUAAAACGAGGCACGUGUGCCUUUUUGCAUGUACUUUAUGAAUAAGGAUCGGCUAACUCCGUGCCAGCAGCCGCGGUAAUACGGAGGGUGCGAGCGUUAAUCGGAAUUAUUGGGCGUAAAGCGCGCGUAGGCGGUAUGUCAAGUCAAGGGUGAAAUCCCCGCGCUCAACGUGAGAACUGCCUUUGAAACUGGCAAACUGGAGGGUGUGAGAGGAUAGUGGAAUUCCAGGUGUAGGAGUGAAAUCCGUAGAUAUCUGGAGGAACAUCAGUGGCGAAGGCGACUAUCUGGCACAUAACUGACGCUGAGGAGCGAAAGCGUGGGUAGCAAACAGGAUUAGAUACCCCAGUAGUC
rnacentral:rRNA from 1 species